CCUACGGGAGGCAGCAGUGGGGAAUAUUGCACAAUGGGGGAAACCCUGAUGCAGCGACGCCGCGUGAGUGAAGAAGGAAUUCGUUAUGUAAAACUCUAUCAGCAGGGAAGAAAAUGACGGUACCUGAGUAAGAAGCCGCGGCUAACUACGUGCCAGCAGCCGCGGUAAUACGUAGGGGGCAAGCGUUAUCCGGAUUUACUGGGUGUAAAGGGAGCGUAGACGGCAGUGCAAGUCUGGAGUGAAAGGCGGGGGCUCAACCCCCGGACUGCCCUGGAAACUGUACGGCUGGAGUGCAAGAGAGGUAAGUGGAAUGCCUAGUGUAGCGGUGAAAUGCGUAGAUAUUAGGAGGAACACCAGUGGCGAAGGCGGCUUACUGGACUGUAACUGACGUUGAGGCUCGAAAGCGUGGGGAGCGAACAGGAUUAGAUACCCGAGUAGUC
rnacentral:rRNA from 1 species